AUACGAAGGGGGCUAGCGUUGUUCGGAUUUACUGGGCGUAAAGCGCGCGUAGGCGGAUUGAUCAGUUAGGGGUGAAAUCCCGAGGCUCAACCUCGGAACUGCCUUUAAUACUGUCAGUCUAGAGACCGGAAGAGGUGAGUGGAACUCCUAGUGUAGAGGUGGAAUUCGUAGAUAUUAGGAAGAACACCAGUGGCGAAGGCGGCUCACUGGUCCGGUACUGACGCUGAGGUGCGAAAGCGUGGGGAGCGAACAGGAUUAGAAACCCUAGUAGUCC
rnacentral:rRNA from 1 species